UACAGAGGGGGCAAGCGUUGUUCGGAAUUACUGGGCGUAAAGGGCGCGUAGGCGGCCUUCUAAGUCAUGCGUGAAAUCCCUGGGCUCAACCCAGGAACUGCGUCUGAUACUGGAAGGCUUGAAUCCGGGAGAGGGAUGUGGAAUUCCAGGUGUAGCGGUGAAAUGCGUAGAUAUCUGGAGGAACACCGGUGGCGAAGGCGGCAUCCUGGACCGGUAUUGACGCUGAGGCGCGAAAGCGUGGGGAGCAAACAGG
rnacentral:rRNA from 1 species